UGCGAGUCAUUGUAGCAAUACAAGGCAGACGGCUCAGUAACGCGUAGUCAACCUAACCUAUGGACGGGAAUAACCUCGGGAAACUGAGAAUAAUACCCGAUAGAACAUUAUGCCUGGAAUGGUUUAUGUUUCAAAUGAUUUAUCGCCGUAGGAUGGGACUGCGGCCUAUCAGCUUGUUGGUGAGGUAAUGGCCCACCAAGACUAUUACAGGUACGGGCUCUGAGAGGAGUAGCCCGGAGAUGGGUACUGAGACACGGACCCAGGCCCUAUGGGGCGCAGCAGGCGAGAAAACUUUGCAAUGUGUGAAAGCACGACAAGGUUAAUCCGAGUGAUUUGUGCUAAACGAAUCUUUUGUUAGUCCUAGAAACACUAACGAAUAAGGGGUGGGCAAGUUCUGGUGUCAGCCGCCGCGGUAAAACCAGCACCUCAAGUGGUCAGGAUGAUUAUUGGGCCUAAAGCAUCCGUAGCCGGCUCUGUAAGUUUUCGGUUAAAUCUGUACGCUUAACGUACAGGCUGCCGGGAAUACUGCAUAGCUAGGAAGUGGGAGAGGUAGACGGUACUCGGUAGGAAGGGGUAAAAUCCUUUGAUCUAUUGAUGACCACCUGUGGCGAAGGCGGUCUACCAGAACACGUUCGACGGUGAGGGAUGAAAGCUGGGGGAGCAAACCGGAUUAGAUACCCGGGUAGUCCCAGCUGUAAACUAUGCAAACUCAGUGAUGCAUUGGCUUGUGGCCAAUGCAGUGCUGCAGGGAAGCCGUUAAGUUUGCCGCCUGGGAAGUACGUACGCAAGUAUGAAACUUAA
rnacentral:rRNA from 1 species